rnacentral:misc_RNA from 1 species
AAGAGCCGGGUGCGGGAAAGCCGCUCGCACGGAUCUGUGAGGCCAAAUGGCCGACCUACCCGUCCACGAUCCAGUUCCCGUGCGUGACUCUAAA